GUGCCAGCAGCCGCGGUAAUACGGAGGGUGCAAGCGUUAUCCGGAUUUAUUGGGUUUAAAGGGUGCGCAGGCGGGUUUGUAAGUCAGCGGUGAAAUCCCACGGCUCAACCGUGGAACUGCCAUUGAUACUGCAGGCCUUGAGUGUAUUUGAAGUGGGCGGAAUGUAGCAUGUAGCGGUGAAAUGCAUAGAUAUGCUACAGAACACCAAUUGCGAAGGCAGCUCACUAAACUACAACUGACGCUCAUGCAC
rnacentral:rRNA from 1 species